rnacentral:rRNA from 1 species
GUCUACGGCCAUACCACCCUGAACAUGCCCGGUCUCAUCUGAUCUUGGAAGCUAAGCAGGAUUGGGCCCGGUUAGUACUUGGUUGGGAGAAAUUAUGAAAUCAGGGCUGGAGAGA